UACAGAGGGUGCGAGCGUUAAUCGGAAUUACUGGGCGUAAAGGGCGCGUAGGUGGUGAUGUAAGCGAGAUGUGAAAUCCCUGGGCUUAACCUAGGAAGGUCAUCUUGAACUGCAUGACUGGAGUACGAUAGAGGGUAGUGGAAUUUCCGGUGUAGCGGUGAAAUGCGUAGAUAUCGGAAGGAACACCAGUGGCGAAGGCGACUACCUGGAUUGAUACUGACACUGAGGCGCGAGAGCGUGGGGAGCAAACAGG
rnacentral:rRNA from 1 species